CGGCAACAGCUCAAAUUUGAAAUCUGGCCCUCUCAGGGUCCGAGUUGUAAUUUGCAGAGGAUGCUUCGGGAGUGGCCCCCAUCUAAGUGCCCUGGAACGGGCCGUCAUAGAGGGUGAGAAUCCCGUCUGGGAUGGGGUGUCCACGCCCGUGUGAAGCUCCUUCGAC
rnacentral:rRNA from 1 species